AGUUGUGUCCAUACCACGUUGAAUACACCGGUUUUCGUCCGAUCACCAAAGUUAAGCAACGUCGGGCGCGGUCAGUAAUUGGGUGGGUGACCGCCUGGGAACACCGCGUGACGUUGGCU
rnacentral:rRNA from 1 species